rnacentral:tRNA from 1 species
GGAGAGAUGGCCGAGUGGACGAAGGCGUCCCGCUCGAAACGGGAUAUCCGCUGAAAGGCGGAUCGGGGGUUCGAAUCCCUCUCUCUCCG